UCCCUCUUAGCUCAGUUGGUAGAGCGCGUCACUAGUACAUCAAAUACCUAAUGACGAGGUCAGUCGUUCAAAUCGGCUAGCGGGAA